rnacentral:rRNA from 1 species
UCCAGCUCCACUCCGAACCUGGAAAUUAAGCAGUCGCGGGCCACAUCAGUACUGGGCUGGGCGACUUCCCGGGAACGUGCGGUGCUUGCUUCUU